rnacentral:rRNA from 1 species
UACAGAGGGGGCGAGCGUUGUUCGGAAUUACUGGGCGUAAAGGGCGCGUAGGCGGCCCGCUAAGUCGAACGUGAAAUCCCCAGGCUCAACCUGGGAACUGCGUCCGAUACUGGCAGGCUUGAAUCCGGGAGAGGGAUGUGGAAUUCCAGGUGUAGCGGUGAAAUGCGUAGAUGUCUGGAGGAACACCGGUGGCGAAGGCGGCAUCCUGGACCGGUAUUGACGCUGAGGCGCGAAAGCUAGGGGAGCAAACGGG